ACGUUUUUCAAGUGGUCUGACUGUCAGAUGCCUGAUUUUGAUGGAUGAUGCUAAGCAUGGACGUAAUCACCAUCUUGGUCUCAAAACCAGCCAGUAAGAUAUGAGAGAAUGAGAAGCUGACACCAGGGUUGGCAGUGGUGUAUCAUAUAUAGCCUCAAGAGGGUUGGCUGGAGACUGGAGGUCCUGAGAUCUCUGGGUAGCAUGCAGCCUGCUCCCCACAGCUAACAGAGUUUGGAAGGAACAACGUGCCAUCUCAAAUGAUUUUUUCCACUGUGGAAAAGACUGUAUCUGUAACCCUGGAAGACAAAAACAGGCAGCCUGAGUAUCCUUCUAGGGCCAGACCAAGCAGUCAAUGAAGCAAGUUUCUAUUAAGGGUGCAAAUUUCUCCCUCAAUUUCAGCCAGUUGAGUGAAGAGAUACACAAGACUGUGGAUUUGUGUACAACAGAACAAGGCAUGGAGACCCUCAGUCUGUCCCAGUCCCUGGUGAUGUGCACACAUGCACAGAGCAGCCAUGGGGCUAGGAUAGAGCAGAGAUACUGAAGGAGCAGAGCAAUGUCUGUGCCAUGUUACCUCUAGGCAGGUGUGGCCAGGCUACUUCCAACUUCUGCCUCUGUCUGCAAACACUUGCUCCUGGUCUUGUUACCCAAACUCUAUUCACAAGAGUGAUUAAAUCAUACUAGUGACCAUCACCUUUGGGAAUAACAACAAAUAAACCCUGUAUUUCAUCAUGUUGGUUGCUCUGCGGAUGGGAUUUUGGCUUCUGGGCCCAUCAGCAGGGAUCCUUUGGACAAUGUUUAAUUAGAGAAUAAGCAAAUGAGUUAUCUGCUUCAAUUCUGCAAGAUGAAAGAUUCAGAGUUUGGAAAUAGGAAAGAACCAUGAAGGUAAAUAAAGAAAAAGAACAAAGCUGAAGGAAGCAUUUUCCAAACAGUUUCCUGCAGCGCAGCAAUGGCCAGGCCAGUACACUAAGCUUCCUUCUUGGGGGAUCUUUCUUGGCCUUUGCACUCUGGUGUUUGCUCCAGCUGCUCUAACUUAGGUGACAGAGUGGGGAGACUCCUAAGGCUGAGUUAUAUGAGAUUGCCAUAGGGAUUGCAUAUAUGAAAUUGCAUAGAACUGCAGAUAUUUACUCAGAUGAGGAUUUUUCUUACAUGUUGACUUGCAAGGUAUUCCAGAAGUGUAGUGAGCUUCUUCUAAACUUCUGAGCCUCAACCAUCAGCCUGGUGUUUCUCCAUUUUAAACAAGCAGCCAUCAGGCCAAAGUUACAUGUGUACAUGUAUGGAGGGAGGCUGAAGACACACUAACAUCACUACCGGUUAGAUUGAACUCAGUUCUGGCCCACUUUUGAAGGGGCCGAACAUCCUUAAUUUCCAGUUGACGGCAUUGGCCAGCCAACAAUACAGAGCCCAUAACACAUCAGAUGAUGCUACCCCAUGCCAGGUAGAGCUGUUUGACCUGAAGGUUGAGAACCGCCUCGCAAGUAUGAGAUACAGAUCAGGGGACAUGUAAAAAGCUGCAGAUGAGAAUCUACGGGUAUGCAUGGAAGGUGGGAAGUGACAUACUGAUUCUGUCUUCAUGUUCAGAGAUUUCUUUCUUCAAGUGCUAUUAGAGAGGUUGCUGAAUCUCCUACUGGAGAUUUUAUUGUAAAAGGACACUACUGGGAAACAAAUUCUCAGCAGUUAUUGCAGUCAAGACAAGGAUGUGUUUCCGAGUGUUCUCUGGGUAAGAAGCUUAACCAAGAUAAUAAAUGCUGUUAAAGAAUAUUAGCAGAACGUCACCUGGCCCUCAUUAAUUUGGGGUAAAGAUCUCUCUGGCUUCCUAUAAUGGAAAGGAGAGAGAAAUACUCCUGAAACUCAUCCACUCUCAUUCACAUUCCAGUGCACUGUAUGUUCUGCAUUUCAAGAGGCAUUUUCAGCCCCUUUAGAUAGGGAACCCCGAUUCCCCAGGAAAAGCAGGGAUAUAUCUGCCAUGAAGGACCCUGGGGAAAGGCAGAAAAAAAUGCCAUGCUUAAAACCAAUCCCCUUCUUUUCCAAAGAAAACAGCUGUGUGACAGCUCAGACAACAGUUGAAGAGAUACGCGUGCAUGUGUAUAUAUGGAUGUACAUAUACAUAGUUCCAUAAAAACACUCUCACCAAUCCAGUUACACUUGUCACAAUAUGUACCCAAUUCCCAGUCAAACUGGGGAAAAAAAUAUCUAGUUAUCUUAGAUGAUUUGGUGACAGGCUUUGCUCAGGGCAGCCUCAUUCCAGCAAGAUUCAUGCUGUCGGAUUACAUCCCUGCUGUUCCUAGGCUACAGUGUUUUUCCUGCAUGCGGUAUUCUCAUUACCCAGAAAGUCUUCAUCCAAAAUGUUGUUCCUCAACUAUCAGCAAAGUGGUGAUGUACUCUUCACUGCAUUGAGUCCUAAUCACACUGGGUAAAAGAGAGUGAAGACUGGAGAAAACUGGUUUACAUCUCCCUUUCAUUCCCUUUCAUUUCUCUGCUUUCUUUUCUUCCCCCAAAAGGCGACACUCCCACUUAGCAACCCUAAAGCAAUUAAGCUGAAGCAAGAUAGUAGUGUGCAGAGGGUGAUCUGAGACAACCCUUUUAUAUCAAUUUCGGUUUCUGCUGGGCAUUCUUCUGACAUUUCAAAAGACUGUGAUCCUAAUGAAAACCACACAAGCUCUCAAUAUUAAGUUAACUCUUUUUGUAAAAAAUGCAAAAGGAUGGAGAAGAAACGGAAAGAAAAAGGGGAAGAGGAACGGAAAGGGAAAGUGAAGGAAAAUUCUUUUCAGGUUGUAUUGGUGCAUACAAGAACCAUAUUGUCUAUCAAGCCAUGCUCUGCCUUAUAAGCCAAAAGACAUAUAGCUAUUACAGAGCAGAAAAGCUACAGAUAUUUCCUCCUCAACAAUUUUUGUCUCAAGAAAACAAAAUAAAAUACGUUUGGCAUUAUUGGUGUAAAGUGUAAGGAACAGAUUGUCAAAAAAAAAAAAAUACAGAAC
rnacentral:lncRNA from 1 species